UGGGGAAUUUUGGACAGUGGGCGAAAGCCUGAUCCAGCAAUGCCGCGUGUGUGAAGAAGGCCUUCGGGUUGUAAAGCACUUUUGUCCGGAAAGAAAUCCUUGGCUCUAAUACAGUCGGGGGAUGACGGUACCGGAAGAAUAAGCACCGGCUAACUACGUGCCAGCAGCCGCGGUAAUACGUAGGGUGCAAGCGUUAAUCGGAAUUACUGGGCGUAAAGCGUGCGCAGGCGGUUUGCUAAGACCGAUGUGAAAUCCCCGGGCUCAACCUGGGAACUGCAUUGGUGACUGGCAGGCUAGAGUAUGGCAGAGGGGGGUAGAAUUCCACGUGUAGCAGUGAAAUGCGUAGAGAUGUGGAGGAAUACCGAUGGCGAAGGCAGCCCCCUGGGCCAAUACUGACGCUCAUGCACGAAAGCGUGGGGAGCAAACAGGAUUAGAUACCCUGGUAGUCCACGCCCUAAACGAUGUCAACUAGUUGUUGGGGAUUCAUUUCCUUAGUAACGUAGCUAACGCGUGAAGUUGACCGCCUGGGGAGUACGGUCGCAAGAUUAAAACUCAAAGGAAUUGA
rnacentral:rRNA from 1 species